rnacentral:rRNA from 1 species
UACGUAGGGACCAAGCGUUGUUCGGAUUUACUGGGCGUAAAGGGCGCGUAGGCGGCUUGACAAGUCACUUGUGAAAUCUCCGGGCUUAACUCGGAACGGCCAAGUGAUACUGUCGUGCUAGAGUGCAGAAGGGGCAAUCGGAAUUCUUGGUGUAGCGGUGAAAUGCGUAGAUAUCAAGAGGAACACCUGAGGUGAAGACGGGUUGCUGGGCUGACACUGACGCUGAAGCGCGAAAGCUAGGGGAGCAAACGGG